rnacentral:rRNA from 1 species
AUACGGAGGGUGCAAGCGUUACUCGGAAUCACUGGGCGUCAGGCGCGCGCAGGCGGGUAAUAAAGUCAGAAGUGAAAGCCUACGGCUUAACCGUAGAACUGCUUCUGAAACUCAUUACCUAGAGUGUGGGAGAGGUAAGUGGAAUUAGUGGUGUAGGGGUAAAAUCCGCAGAGAUCACUAGGAAUACCAAAAGCGAAGGCAACUUACUGGAACAUUACUGACGCUGAGGCGCGAAAGCGUGGGGAGCAAACAGGAUUAGAUACCCUAGUAGUCC